UACAGAGGGUGCGAGCGUUAAUCGGAAUUACUGGGCGUAAAGCGUGCGUAGACGGCUAUCUAAGUCGGGUGUGAAAGCCCCGGGCUCAACCUGGGAAUUGCAUUCGAGACUGAAUAGCUAGGGUACGGUAGAGGGAAGCGGAAUUCCAGGUGUAGCGGUGAAAUGCGUAGAUAUCUGGAGGAACACCGGUGGCGAAGGCGGCAUCCUGGACCGGUAUUGACGCUGAGGCGCGAAAGCCAGGGGAGCAAAGCGGGG
rnacentral:rRNA from 1 species